AUACGGAGGAUCCGAGCGUUAUCCGGAUUUAUUGGGUUUAAAGGGUGCAUAGGCGGCCUUUUAAGUCAGUUGUGAAAGUUUGCGGCUCAACCGUAAAAUUGCAGUUGAUACUGGCUGUCUUGAGUACAGUAGAGGUGGGCGGAAUUCGUGGUGUAGCGGUGAAAUGCUUAGAUAUCACGAAGAACUCCGAUUGCGAAGGCAGCUCACUGGACUGCAACUGACACUGAUGCUCGAAAGUGUGGGUAUCAAACAGGAUUAGAUACCCUGGUAGUCCACACAGUAAACGAUGAAUACUCGCUGUUUGCGAUAUACAGUAAGCGGCCAAGCGAAAGCGUUAAGUAUUCCACCUGGGGAGUACGCCGGCAACGGUGAAACUCAAAUGAAUUGACGGGG
rnacentral:rRNA from 1 species